CCGGUACCCAGCCGGCUCCGGCCGGCGGUCCGGUGGCUUCCGGCCGCCGGGAGCUGGACCUGUUCGACGUGGUGGCCCUGGCC
rnacentral:tRNA from 1 species